CAAUAGCGUAUAUUUAAGUUGUUGCAGUUAAAAAGCUCGUAGUUGGAUUUCGGGUAGGAUUUGCCGGUCCGUCUUUGAGAUGUGUACUGGUAAGUCCUAUCUUCUUGUCGGGGACCAGCUCCUGGGCUUCACUGUCCGGGACUGGGAGCCGACGAAGUUACUUUGAGUAAAUUAGAGUGUUCAAAGCAAGCCUACGCUCUGAAUAUAUUAGCAUGGAAUAACACGAUAGGACUCUGGCUUAUCUUGUUGGUCUGUGAGACCAUAGUAAUGAUUAAGAGGGACAGUCGGGGACAUUCGUAUUUCAUUGUCAGAGGUGAAAUUCUUGGAUUUAUGAAAGACGAACUUCUGCGAAAGCAUUUGUCAAGGAUGUUUUCAUUAA
rnacentral:rRNA from 1 species